rnacentral:lncRNA from 1 species
AAGUAUGAAUGAAAUAAAAUUUAGGAUGUAUAAGUGUAAGUGUGAACAUGAUACAAUUUAGGACCUAGAAGUACAAGUGUCAAUAGGAUGCGAUUUAGGAUCUACAAGUGCUAGUGUGAAUGGGGUGUAAUUUAGAGUCUACAAAUGCAAGUCUGAACGAGGUGUGGUUUAGAAUCUACAAAUGCAAGUGUGAACAUAAUAUAAUUUAGGGUCUAUAAAUGUGAGCGUGAACAAUGUGUUGUUUAGGGUCCAUGAUAUAUGAUUAAAUUUUAGAAAUUAUAAUUGUAAAUAGGGUGCGGUUUAAAAUUUGAAUGUGCAAGUAUAAACAGGGUUUAAGGGAUUUA